AUUGAACGCUGGCGGAAUGCUUUACACAUGCAAGUCGAACGGUAGAGGGGGCAACCCCUUGAGAGUGGCGAACGGGUGAGUAAUAUAUCGGAACGUGCCCAGUCGUGGGGAUAACGUAGCGAAAGUUACGCUAAUACCGCAUACGAUCUAAGGAUGAAAGCGGGGGAUCGCAAGACCUCGCGCGAUUGGAGCGGCCGAUAUCAGAUUAGGUAGUUGGUGAGGUAAAGGCUCACCAAGCCAACGAUCUGUAGCUGGUCUGAGAGGACGACCAGCCACACUGGAACUGAGACACGGUCCAGACUCCUACGGGAGGCAGCAGUGGGGAAUUUUGGACAAUGGACGCAAGUCUGAUCCAGCCAUGCCGCGUGCAGGAUGAAGGCCUCGGUUGUAACUUAGCUUUGUUCGGUAACGAAACGGUAGGAGC
rnacentral:rRNA from 1 species